GAUGAACGCUGGCGGCGUGCCUAAUACAUGCAAGUCGAGCGAACAGACGAGGAGGUUGCUCCUCUGACGUUAGCGGCGGACGGGUGAGUAACACGUGGAUAACCUACGUAUAAGACUGGGAUAACUUCGGGAAACCUGAGCUAAUACCGGAUAACAUGUUGAACCGCAUGGUUCAACAGUGAAAGACGGUUUUGCUGUGAUUAAUAGGUGGUUCCGCGCCGUUUUAUCUAGUUGGUAAGGUAACGGCCUACCAAGGAAACGAUGCGUAGCCGACCUGAGAGAGGGGUCGGCCACAUAGCAAGUGAGACACGGUACAGACACCGACGGGAGGCAGAAGUAGGCAAUCUUGCGCACUGGGCGAAAGCCUGAAGAAGCAACGCAGCCUGACUGAAGAAGGUCUUCGGAUCGUAAAACUCUGUUCUUAGGGAAGAACAAAUGUGUACGUAGCUAUGCGCGUCUUAACGGUACCUGAUCAGAAAACCACGGCUAACUACGU
rnacentral:rRNA from 1 species